rnacentral:rRNA from 1 species
GAUGAACGCUGGCGGCGUGCUUAACACAUGCAAGUCGAACGAAGCACUUUAACCUGUUUCUUCUGCUGAAGGUUCUUGUGACUGAGUGGCGGAUGGGUGAGUAACGCUUGGGUAACCUGCCUCAUCCAGGGGGAUAACAGUUAGAAAUGUCUGCUAAUACCGCACAAGACCACAGAGCCGCAUGGCCCGGUGGGAAAAACUCCGGUGGUAUGAGAUGGAUGCUCGUCUGAUUAGGUAGUUGGUAGGGUAACGGCCUACCAAGGCAACGAAGAGUAGCCGAGAGGGGAGGGGGACCGGCCACGUUGGGGCUGAGACACAGCCCAAACUCCUACGGAGGGCAGCAGUAGGGAAUAUUGCACAAUGAGGGAAGCCCUGAUGCAGCGGCGCCGCGUGAGCGAAGAAGUAUUUCGGUAUGUAAAGCUCUAUCAGCAGGGGAGAAAGUGACGGUACCUGACAAAGAAGCACCGGCUAAAUACGUG